rnacentral:rRNA from 1 species
GGCGAGUGAAGCGGGAACAGCUCAAUUUUGAAAUCUCUGUGGGUAACCACAGCGAGUUGUAGUUUGUGGAAGUGCUAUCUUGCAAACACACCGGCCUAAGUUUCCUUGGAACAGGGCAUCAUAGAGGGUGAGAAUCCCGUCUAUGGCUACGUGUGUGAGCGUUAUGUUGCACUCUCUCAGANUCGGGUUGUUUGGGAAUGCAGCCCAAAAUGGGUGGUAAGUUCUCAUCUAAAGCUAAAUACGGGCACGAGACCGAUAGCGAACAAGUACCGUGAGGGAAAGAUGAAAAGCACUUUGAAAAGACAGUCAAACAGUACGUGAAACCGUUAAAAGGGAACCGAUUGGAGUUAGUAGUACACCAAGUCAUUCAGCCUUGGGGAUCUAGCCUAUGUGCGUUGGCAGCGCAAGCGUCAUGUGCAUGGAGGAAAAUCUCGUUGGUGUAUUUGGCUUGGUGUGGGCCAACAUCAGUUUGGGCUGCGAGAUAAACGUCUGGGAUGGUAGCCACUUGUGGUGUUAAACCCAGACACAUAUCGCGGCCUAGACUGAGGUUGUCGCAGCAUGUCUUGGCAACGUUAAGUCUGUUUAUGCAUGCUCUGGUGGACUGCUUGCAGUGUUCUGGAGUCUGUGUGGGCAAAACUGGCUGAGCACACUCAUGCUUCGGAUGUUGGCGAAAUGGCUUCAAUUGACCCGUCUUGAAACACGGACCAAGGAGUCUAGCAAAUGCGCGAGUCUUAGGGUGUCAAACCCAAGGGCGCAAUGAAAGUGAACAGGUGAGAGCUUCGGCGCAUCAUCGACCGAUCUUCUUUCGAGAAGAUUUGAGUAAGAGCGUAUCUGCUGGGACCCGAAAGAUGGUGAACUAUGCCUGAAUAGGGUGCAGCCAGAGGAAACUCUGGUGAAGGCUCGUAGCGGUUCUGACGUGCAAAUCGAUCGUCAAAUUUGGGUAUAGGGGCGAAAGACUAAUCGAACCAUCUAGUAGCUGGUUCCCACCGAAGUUUCCCUCAGGAUAGCUGGAACUUUUACAGUUUUAUCAGGUAAAGCGAAUGAUUAGAGGCCUUGGGGAUGAAACAUCCUCAACCUAUUCUCAAACUUUAAAUAGGUAAGAAGUCCGACUUACUUAAGUGAAGCCGGACACUGAAUGUGAGUNCCAAGUGGGCCAUUUUUGGUAAGCAGAACUGGCGAUGCGGGAUGAACCGAACGUGGAGUUAAGGUGCCAAAAUCAACGCUCAUCAGAUACCACAAAAGGUGUUGGUUGAUCUAGACAGCAGGACGGUGGCCAUGGAAGUCGGAAUCC